UACGGGGGGGGCAAGCGUUGUUCGGAAUUACUGGGCGUAAGGGGCUCGUAGGCGGCCAACUAAGUCAGACGUGAAAUCCCCAGGCUCAACCUGGGAACUGCGUCUGAUACUGGAUGGCUUGAAUCCGGGAGAGGGAUGCAGAAUUCCAGGUGUAGCGGUGAAAUGCGUAGAUAUCUGGAGGAAUACCGGUGGCGAAGGCGGCAUCCUGGACCGGCAUUGACGCUGAGGAGCGAAAGCUAGGGGAGCAAACGGG
rnacentral:rRNA from 1 species